rnacentral:misc_RNA from 1 species
UUAGGGAACGCUUGCAAUUUGAAAUAGUUUCACUGCGCAUUUGCGAUAUGUUAAACAAUCCAGCGUGACGCGAUCUUUGUUCAGCGGAACUAGACUUGUGAUUUUUAAAUUAUAUUAUAUGGAAUAACGUGAAAAGAAAACAUCAGCGAAAUAUCAGCGGAACCAUUUUCGAGGAUUAGAAAAUACAUCGCGAUAUACGAAAACUUGAAAAACGUUACUGCGAAUGAAAAUCUGGAAUACAGUCUAAACGAAUCACGCAUGCGCAACGGAUCAGUCAGCAUUCGAUAUUGACCUCAUAACGUAUUUUCUAUACGUAAAAUCCGUUCAGUGAAGAUAUAACUUUGAUUCAAAGAUCUCAGUUUUUUCCUUUGUUCUAUUAAAAUAUGUUGAAGUGCCCGUGGUUGAUAUUAGUUAGCGAAUUAUUAAUUAUCGGAUACAGUGCGACAAAUACGUCGUUAACUGUAACGCCUCUUAGUGGAAAUAAUUCAGCAAGGGAGAUGGCGACCGGUUUACCAAUAUUCUUGAACGAAGCCAGAGUAUCGCAACUACUAGACGGACAAUGGUUACCCCUGAUCGAUGCUAUGCACCAAGCUCUCUUGGCGUCAGCUUUGAAACAUGCUGUACCACCUCUGAGAUCUUUUACACCCAUCAGAGACGAGGGGAUCAUGUUAACCAUGCCCGGCUACGUUGACUUCAAUAAUGAUGUCCACGAAGGCGAGCCCGUGUUGGCAUGCAAAGUAGUGACUAGUUUCACAGGGAAUUCCGAAAGAGAAAAUCCGCUGCCUAAUAUUUUGGGCACUAUACUUCUCUUCGAUGUCACCAGCGGAAAGCUAACUUGUGUAUUGGAAGCCACGGAAAUAACAGCCAGGAGAACAGCGGCAGCUUCUGUAGCGGCCACGAAUAUUUUGUACAAAAAGAGACACUCAUUGUCAAACAGUUCCGAUGAGCCGAUCGUUCUCGGUAUAUUCGGAGCCGGAGUACAGGGGAAAAAUCACGCAUUGGCCUUUCAUGCUGCUUACUCAAAUAUAUCAGAGAUCCGCAUUUGGAAUCAUCGGCUGCCCAAGGCGGAACGUUUAGUUGCAGAGUUGAAAACCCUCGGCAUUAAUCAGGCGCGGGUAGCUCGUACCGGAAGAGAAUGCGCCGAAGGAGCGGACAUCUUAGUUACGGCGACUUCUUCCUCCGAACCAAUCCUCUUCGACGAGUGGGUCAAAAAUGGCGCCCACAUCAACGCUGUCGGCAGCGGUCGUUUUCAUUACUGUGAACUGGAUUUACCGCUCUACCGAAGGGUCAAAAUCUAUUUGGACAACGAGUCAAGCGGCCGCAACGAAUUGCGGGGGCUCGUGGUCCAGGGCAUUUCUUUGAUCACCUCCGUAGGUAACGUUUUCCUCGAACCGAAUCUGAUGCCGGGAAAACAGGAUAUCACGGUCUUCCAUUCGAUCGGCAUGGCUGCCGAAGACGCUCUGGCAGCUCAGCUUGUCUACAAACGACAUUUGCUUUCUCGGCCUUCGAACUGAUCAGGUUUUCAAUUCGUUUUAUUAGGCGAAAGAAGAUUCGACGAAUUCUAAAGCUGUUCGGAACACGUGAUCCUUUUGGCAUGGUUUUACAUAUCAGAGCUGAGCGAUCCUCGCACCGUCAGACCGAACGUUCAGCCUGAAACAAAGGAUCGAGCAAAUGUGUGAUUUCGGCAUCGAACGUCCAUCAUAAUCAACGCACAAAGCGACCCGUGGGACGAAUGAUCGCAGAGCGAGUGGAUCCCGCGGAUCAUUUUCAGGAAAUGAGAAGGAACGAUCCCAACGCCCAUUCAUCCUUCCGUCGAGAUCAAAGCGAAGAGUCGUAAGAAUAUUAGAUCGCUAUGGAAGCUCUCAAGAUCCCUGGCGGAAUUUUAGUUAGCACGAUUAGCGAACGCAGAUAUUCCAAGACAUACUUAACUCUGGUCUGAAGAGCCUGGAAACUGAUUGAAGACUGCUGCAGGAGCUGAUUGAAACCUGACGCACGUCGGUUCGUUAACCCAACUGGUAGCAAUGUUGGCCUGGAGCUAACGAGAUCAAUUCUCAGGACGGGGAAAUUACAGGCUGAGUAACGAAGUCGAGGCGAGAAGGCCAGGAGACAUGAUACCGGAAAUUAAGAGUAUAUUGGAACUGGGAACCAUCAACGGUCCAGAUGAGAGGGUGAACCCUUUAUAUUUCCCGGGGAUUGCCAAAUUUCCAUUCAAGAGGAUUUUAAUGUCGAGGCAAGAGCAAAUUGGAAGGAAAUGUGCGAGCUAGGGUUGGCUGCGCUGGACCGUAUGCUGCAUAGGUUCGCCGACUCUGAACAGUACGAGAUCACUGAAAAAUUGAUUCUAGUAUUAUCUGAACUGGAUUAAAGCCCAACAAAAAAAAAAAACUGAAGGCGUUUACCUUGCUUUUUCUUCGACCUUGGAGCCAGAAUCUUUUCAUCUUCGAAUCGAUUGAAAUCAACAUUGCCAGUCUAAUUGGAUUACGAGGACCACAGAAAAGGGGUUCCAAAUAUUGGAGAACCGACAUUCCAGUACAUACAAAAAAUGCAAAGAAUUUAAUUUAUUUAUAUGUUGAUUUUAUGUCAGGUUACAUCAAAUAAGAACAAUCCAUAUCUAGUCCUGCAAAAGAGCUUUGCACCUCUACGUGGACCAAAACUUGAUCUAUACUGAUAAACUACAAUAAUAGCUAUCUGAUACAGAUGCAGAUUGCACUCCUUUCACCUCGUAUGAUUGUCAGACGUGAUACGUUAUGUAAGAUGAUUUUUAAGCAUUUCGUUUGUGUUUGACUUGUAUACUCUUAGGCACCUUGUGGAGUUACUAUACACUGAAACCCGAUCGCUUGUACUAGAAUUAAGGUGUACUUGAUAAACUAAUAAAAAAAUUUGAAUUCUA